GGCAUUUUUGCACUGUUUCAUGCCUAUCUAAAUAUCAGGCUGUUUGCAGGGGAGCGUUUGACCCACUUCAAUGGGAUCCUUGUGUCAUGCACUCACCAGACAUCCAUAAAAAAACUUCUCCAGAGUCCUUAAGAAGAGCUGCAUCCAGCAUUACAAAACACAGCGCAGCACGGAUGAGUGCCUGAGGCUGCAUCCCAAUACGUUGCUGUUGGGUUCAUCUCGGGUAGGCAGCAUCCAACCACAAUAUAUCACUGUUGGGUUCAUUUCAGGUAGGUGGUGACCACUGAAGGGUAAAAAGGAUGACUGAGGAGCAAAGAGGAAUUGCCAAAAAGUGACGAGGUGCCAAGAGGAUGGAGAGUUACGGUGGAACGUGCCUUGGGAGAUGUGCUGGUGUCACCUGCCCUCUGCCUGAAAGGGAGCUGUGGAGGAAGGAAAGCUGCGACAGGGAGCGAGAAAGACCAUGGACAUGUUGGAAGCUGGAAUAUACAUCCUGCAUUACAAAGUGCAAAAUACUACAUGCUCAGAGCCCAAGCAUGAUGUCUGAAACAGUCCACAGCAAGAUGUGGAUCAGAAUCGAGCCUCUCUUGCUGCCGAUCUGCUCCCUGGCAUCUCUGUGGUUGGGUUGGGAUGCUCAGCUCCACUCGGGUCACUGGAGAUGCCUGCACGAGUUUGGGGGCCCUGGGCACGACGCCGAGCCAGAAGGAAGAGCUGUGAGCAGCACUCAGCCUUGGGAGGUGAGCCAGCCCUGCUGCGUGGGGACGGGGCUGAGGGCAGGAGUGUUUUCCCCCAAUUUCCCCCUAAGGAAUUCUGCAAGACACUGUUUGCAGCUUGGUUUUGACAACAAAGAACAGAACGGGGCUGGGUGCUGCUUCCCAUCCUUCACAUCCCGGCAGGGCUUGUGCCUUCCUGUGCUCCUCUCCUCCAUUCACAACCAGCCACCUGCUUUGGUUUUUCUCUCCCAUUUCCUCUCUCUUGAAAGCUGUUGGAUCCCCCCAGGAAGCUCAGCCCG